rnacentral:other from 1 species
AAAGGCCUAUCCUGUUUGUGAUAACAAUGUUGUUUUGUGCUAAACUUUGAACUAUAGGGUGUUCGAUUAGGUAUGGCGUGAAUGCCUUCAUUGCAGUUGGACUCAUAAAAUAUCUAUAAGGAUUCCCAUUAUUGUGAUACGGUUCAAACAAAUUGUUACACGGCAAGGACAGGUCUUUU